GCCCCCUUGAUGGAAUUGGUAGACAUACAAGACUUAAAAUCUUGAGUCCUCUGGGCGUGCCGGUUCGAGUCCGGCAGGGGGCA
rnacentral:tRNA from 1 species